rnacentral:lncRNA from 1 species
UUUUGUUUAGAAGUAUGCUAUUUUUAUUAAAGACUGCCAUUUAAGCAGCUGGACAUCAGUAAAUCAUUGAACUUUUAAAUCAUUCUUCAUAUUGUACCCUAAGGGGUCUGAGAUUUUUUCCUUACCACUUUUUCAAAAAACUAAAGUAGGACAAAAAGCCAACAAAAAUGUCUCCUACACAUUUACUUUUAAUUAUAUUCAGCCUCAUUUUUAGUCAUUUGUUUUACCUGGAAAUAAUCUUUCUAGUGUACUAAUUGUUCCAAUAUACUAAAGGUUCUAAUCUCAAUGUAAUUGUCUCACUUAAUAUUGAACUAUUAAAUAGCCAC